rnacentral:rRNA from 1 species
ACCUACGGGAGGCAGCAGUGGGGAAUAUUGCACAAUGGGGGAAACCCUGAUGCAGCAACGCCGCGUGAGUGAAGAAGUAUUUCGGUAUGUAAAGCUCUAUCAGCAGGGAAGAAAAUGACGGUACCUGAGUAAGAAGCACCGGCUAAAUACGUGCCAGCAGCCGCGGUAAUACGUAUGGUGCAAGCGUUAUCCGGAUUUACUGGGUGUAAAGGGAGCGUAGACGGUGAGACAAGUCUGAAGUGAAAGCCCGGGGCUCAACCCCGGGACUGCUUUGGAAACUGCCUGACUGGAGUGCUGGAGAGGCA